rnacentral:rRNA from 1 species
GACGAACCGAGCAAACGUUAUUCGGAAUCACUGGGCUUAAAGGGCGCGUAGGCGGGCCAUCAAGUCUGUGGUGAAAUCCUCCAGCUUAACUGGAGAACGGCCGCGGAUACUGGUGGUCUCGAGGAAGGUAGGGGCAUCUGGAACUGGUGGUGGAGCGGUGAAGUGCGUUGAUAUCAUCAGGAACUCCGGUGGCGAAGGCGAGAUGCUGGACCUUUUCUGACGCUGAGGCGCGAAAGCCAGGGGAGCGAACGGG